UACGUAGGUGGCAAGCGUUGUCCGGAUUUACUGGGCGUAAAGGGCGCGUAGGCGGUCAGCACAGGUCAGUUGUGAAAUCUCCGGGCUUAACUCGGAAAGGUCAACUGAUACUGUGCGACUAGAGUGCAGAAGGGGCAACUGGAAUUCUCGGUGUAGCGGUGAAAUGCGUAGAUAUCGAGAGGAACACCUGCGGCGAAGGCGGGUUGCUGGGCUGACACUGACGCUGAUGCGCGAAAGCCAGGGGAGCGAACGGG
rnacentral:rRNA from 1 species